GAGUUUGAUCCUGGCUCAGAGUGAACGCUGGCGGCGUGCCUAAUACAUGCAAGUCGAACGGAGAUUAAGUAGCUUGCUAUUUAAUCUUAGUGGCGCACGGGUGAGUAAUAUAUAGCUAAUCUGCCCUACACUAGAGGACAACAGUUGGAAACGACUGCUAAUACUCUAUACUCCUUCUUUACAUAAGUUAAGUCGGGAAAGUUUUUCGGUGUAGGAUGAGGCUAUAUCGUAUCAGCUAGUUGGUAGGGUAACGGCCUACCAAGGCUAUGACGCGUAACUGGUCUGAGAGGAUGAUCAGUCACACUGGAACUGAGACACGGUCCAGACUCCUACGGGAGGCAGCAGUAGGGAAUAUUGCUCAAUGGGGGAAACCCUGAAGCAGCAACGCCGCGUGGAGGAUGACACUUUUCGGAGCGUAAACUCCUUUUCUUGGGAAAGAAUUAUGACGGUACCCAAGGAAUAAGCACCGGCUAACUCCGUGCCAGCAGCCGCGGUAAUACGGAGGGUGCAAGCGUUACUCGGAAUCACUGGGCGUAAAGGACGCGUAGGCGGAUUAUCAAGUCUCUUGUGAAAUCUAACGGCUUAACCGUUAAACUGCUUGGGAAACUGAUAAUCUAGAGUAAGGGAGAGGCAGAUGGAAUUCUUGGUGUAGGGGUAAAAUCCGUAGAGAUCAAGAAGAAUACCCAUUGCGAAAGCGAUCUGCUGGAACUUAACUGACGCUAAUGCGUGAAAGCGUGGGGAGCAAACAGGAUUAGAUACCCUGGUAGUCCACGCCCUAAACGAUGUAUACUAGUUGUUGCUUCGCUAGUCGAGGCAGUAAUGCACCUAACGGAUUAAGUAUACCGCCUGGGGAGUACGGUCGCAAGAUUAAAACUCAAAGGAAUAGACGGGGACCCGCACAAGCGGUGGAGCAUGUGGUUUAAUUCGAAGAUACGCGAAGAACCUUACCCGGACUUGAUAUCUAACAAAUCAUCCAGAGAUGGAAGAGUGUCUGCUUGCAGAAAUGUUAAGACAGGUGCUGCACGGCUGUCGUCAGCUCGUGUCGUGAGAUGUUGGGUUAAGUCCCGCAACGAGCGCAACCCACGUCAUUAGUUGCUAACGGUUCGGCCGAGCACUCUAAUGAGACUGCCUUCGUAAGGAGGAGGAAGGUGUGGACGACGUCAAGUCAUCAUGGCCCUUAUGUCCGGGGCGACACACGUGCUACAAUGGCGUAUACAAUAAGACGCAAUAUCGCGAGAUGGAGCAAAUCUAUAAAAUACGUCCCAGUUCGGAUUGGAGUCUGCAACUCGACUCCAUGAAGCCGGAAUCGCUAGUAAUCGUAGAUCAGCCAUGCUACGGUGAAUACGUUCCCGGGUCUUGUACUCACCGCCCGUCACACCAUGGGAGUUGAUUUCACUCGAAGCCCAAAUACCAAACCGGUUAUGGUCCACAGUGGAAUCAGCGACUGGGGUGAAGUCGUAACAAGGUAACCGUAGGAGAACCUGC
rnacentral:rRNA from 1 species